AGUGGGUGUAAUGUACCUACUAGCCUACGACGGGUACGGGUUGUGAGAGCAAGAGCCCGGAGAUGGAUUCUGAGACACGAAUCCAGGCCCUACGGGGUGCAGCAGGCGCGAAAACUUUACAAUGCUGGCAACAGCGAUAAGGGAACCUCGAGUGCCAGGUUACAAAUCUGGCUGUCGAGAUGCCUAAAAAGCAUUUCAUAGCAAGGGCCGGGCAAGACCGGUGCCAGCCGCCGCGGUAACACCGGCGGCUCGAGUGGUAACCGUUAUUAUUGGGUCUAAAGGGUCUGUAGCCGGCCGGAUAAGUCUCUUGAGAAAUCUGGCAGCUUAACUGUCAGGCUUUCAGGAGAUACUGUCUGGCUCGAGGCCGGGAGAGGUGAGAGGUACUUCAGGGGUAGGGGUGAAAUCUUGUAAUCCCCGAGGGACGACCGAUGGCGAAGGCAUCUUACCAGAACGGCUUCGACAGUGAGGGACGAAAGCUGGGGGAGCAAACCGGAUUAGAU
rnacentral:rRNA from 1 species